rnacentral:rRNA from 1 species
AUUGAACGCUGGCGGCAUGCCUUACACAUGCAAGUCGAACGGCAGCAUGGAGAGCUUGCUCUCUGAUGGCGAGUGGCGAACGGGUGAGUAAAGCAUCGGAACGUACCGUGUAGUGGGGGAUAACGUAGCGAAAGUUACGCUAAUACCGCAUACGCACCGAGGUGGAAAGCAGGGGAUCGUAAGACCUUGCGCUAUACGAGCGGCCGAUGUCAGAUUAGCUAGUUGGUAGGGUAAAGGCCUACCAAGGCGACGAUCUGUAGCGGGUCUGAGAGGAUGCUCCGACACACUGGGACUGAGACACGGCCCAGACUCCUACGGGAGGCAGCAGUGGGGAAUUUUGGACAAUGGGGGCAACCCUGAUCCAGCCAUGCCGCGUGAGUGAAGAAGGCCUUCGGGUUGUAAAGCUCUUUCGGCCGGGAAGAAAUCGCACAGGCUAAUACCCUGUGUGGAUGACGGUACCGGCAUAAGAAGCACCGGCUAACUACGUGCCAGCAGCCGCAGUAA